UACGUAGGAGGCAAGCGUUGUCCGGAAUUACUGGGUGUAAAGCGCGUGUAGGCGGCAGGCCAAGUCUGUGGUGAAAUCGCUCGGCUCAACUGGGCGGGGUCCAUGGAAACUGGUCAGCUGGAGGACGGUAGAGGUGAGUGGAAUUCCCGGUGUAGUGGUGAAAUGCGUAGAGAUCGGGAGGAACACCCGUGGCGAAGGCGGCUCACUGGGCCGGUCCUGACGCUGAGGCGCGAAAGCGUGGGGAGCAAACGGG
rnacentral:rRNA from 1 species